UACGUAGGGUGCAAGCGUUAAUCGGAAUUACUGGGCGUAAAGGGUGCGCAGGCUGAUAUACAAGUUAGAUGUGAAAUACCUGAGCUUAACUUAGGAGGUGCAUUUAAGACUGUAUAACUAGAGUUAGUGAGAGGAUGGGGGAAUUCCGGGUGUAGCAGUGAAAUGCGUAGAUAUUCGGAGGAACAUCAGUGGCGAAGGCGCCCAUCUGGGAUAUAACUGACGCUCAUGCACGAAAGCGUGGGGAGCAAACAGG
rnacentral:rRNA from 1 species